rnacentral:tRNA from 1 species
UUUGUUUUAGUAUAAUUUAUUAUUUUAGCUUUUCGUGCUGAAGAUAGUUUUAAACUAAACAAAU